UGCGGGGUGGAGCAGCCCGGUAGCUCGCAAGGCUCAUAACCUUGAGGUCGGUGGUUCAAAUCCACCCCCCGCAACCA
rnacentral:tRNA from 1 species